UAAGCUUUGCAUGGUGGGUGCUUCU
rnacentral:piRNA from 1 species